UGGGGAAUAUUGCACAAUGGGCGCAAGCCUGAUGCAGCCAUGCCGCGUGUAUGAAGAAGGCCUUCGGGUUGUAAAGUACUUUCAGCGGGGAGGAAGGUGUUGAGGUUAAUAACCUCAGCAAUUGACGUUACCCGCAGAAGAAGCACCGGCUAACUCCGUGCCAGCAGCCGCGGUAAUACGGAGGGUGCAAGCGUUAAUCGGAAUUACUGGGCGUAAAGCGCCCGCAGGCGGUCUGUCAAGUCGGAUGUGAAAUCCCCGGGCUCAACCUGGGAACUGCAUUCGAAACUGGCAGGCUAGAGUCUUGUAGAGGGGGGUAGAAUUCCAGGUGUAGCGGUGAAAUGCGUAGAGAUCUGGAGGAAUACCGGUGGCGAAGGCGGCCCCCUGGACAAAGACUGACGCUCAGGUGCGAAAGCGUGGGGAGCAAACA
rnacentral:rRNA from 1 species